AAUUUGUUUCUUAAUUAGAUAAUAGUAUGAACGAAUGCCCCCCUUAUAAAUUUAUUAUAAAGGGAAUUACUCAAAUUAAAAUUUUGAUGAAAAUUUCAAAAUCUAAAACCUAGACGAUAAGACCCUAUGAAGCUUAACUAAAAAGGCCAAACCUUUUAUGCCUUCUCCUUAUUGGUUUAAUUGGGGCAAUGGUUAAUAAAAAUAUUAUAACACUGUUUAAUUUUAUAGAUCCUAAAGGGACCUUAUGAGUAAGCUACUCUAGGGAUAACAGCACCAUAGUUAAAAAAGUUCUUAUUAGAAUAACUGU
rnacentral:rRNA from 1 species